rnacentral:rRNA from 1 species
UACGUAGGGGGCAAGCGUUGUCCGGAAUCAUUGGGCGUAAAGAGCGCGUAGGCGGUCCGGUAAGUCGGUUGUGAAAACUGGGGGCUCAACCCUCAGAGGCCGACCGAUACUGCCGGGCUAGAGUCCGGAAGAGGCGAGUGGAAUUCCUGGUGUAGCGGUGAAAUGCGCAGAUAUCAGGAGGAACACCAAUGGCGAAGGCAGCUCGCUGGGACGGUACUGACGCUGAGGUGCGAAAGCGUGGGGAGCAAACAGG